CCAUUGCUAGUAUACCCCAAAACUUCUUUUCAGAUUUUUCAGAGAAGAAAAAGAAAACCUCAAAGAAUACUUCCACCAUUAUCUCAGGUCGAGUUUCAGUCGUCUUCUUCAGAAAAAUAUCGCUCUGUUCUGAAGGUUUUCCAUUGCUAUUGUCUACAGCUUAGUAGAACAGCCUCUCAAACGAUCGUACACAGUUAGGCACAUUUACUCAUUCAAUGGAGGCACGCACUGAG